UACGUAGGGGGCAAGCGUUGUCCGGAAUUAUUGGGCGUAAAGCGCGCGCAGGCGGUCCAUUAAGUCUGGUGUAUAAACCAAAGGCUCAACCUUUGGACGCAUUGGAAACUGGUGGACUGGAGUGUAGGAGAGGAAAGUGGAAUUCCACGUGUAGCGGUGAAAUGCGUAGAGAUGUGGAGGAACACCAGUGGCGAAGGCGACUUUCUGGCCUAUAACUGACGCUGAGGCGCGAAAGCGUGGGGAGCAAACAGG
rnacentral:rRNA from 1 species